rnacentral:rRNA from 1 species
UCUCGCGGCCUAUCAGCUUGUUGGUGGGGUGACGGCCUACCAAGGCGACGACGGGUAGCCGGCCUGAGAGGGCGACCGGCCACACUGGGACUGAGACACGGCCCAGACUCCUACGGGAGGCAGCAGUGGGGAAUAUUGCACAAUGGGCGAAAGCCUGAUGCAGCGACGCCGCGUGAGGGAUGACGGCCUUCGGGUUGUAAACCUCUUUCAGCAGGGAAGAAGCGCAAGUGACGGUACCUGCAGAAGAAGCACCGGCUAACUACGUGCCAGCAGCCGCGGUAAUACGUAGGGUGCGAGCGUUGUCCGGAAUUAUUGGGCGUAAAGAGCUCGUAGGCGGCCUGUCGCGUCGGAUGUGAAAGCCCGGGGCUUAACCCCGGGUCUGCAUUCGAUACGGGCAGGCUAGAGUUCGGUAGGGGAGAUCGGAAUUCCUGGUGUAGCGGUGAAAUGCGCAGAUAUCAGGAGGAACACCGGUGGCGAAGGCGGAUCUCUGGGCCGAUACUGACGCUGAGGAGCGAAAGCGUGGGGAGCGAACAGGAUUAGAUACCCUGGUAGUCCACGCCGUAAACGUUGGGAACUAGGUGUGGGCGACAUUCCACGUCGUCCGUGCCGCAGCUAACGCAUUAAGUUCCCCGCCUGGGGAGUACGGAAGCUUGGAAUUCGC